GAUGAACGCUGGCGGCGUGCCUAAUACAUGCAAGUCGAACGCUGAAGGAGGAGCUUGCUCUUCUGGAUGAGUUGCGAACGGGUGAGUAACGCGUAGGUAACCUGCCUGGUAGCGGGGGAUAACUAUUGGAAACGAUAGCUAGUACCGCAUGACAACAGUUAUUGCAUGAUAACUGUUUCAAAGGGGCAACUGCUCCACUCCCAGAUGGACCUGCGUUGUAUUAGCUGGUUGGUGAGGUAACGGCUCACCAAGGCGACGAUCCAUAGCCGACCUGCUGUGUGGGUCGGCCACACUGGGACUGAGACACGGCCCAGACUUCUAAGGGGAGCAGCAGGAGGGAAAUGUAGGAAAUGGAGGGAAGGCUGAACGAGCAACGCCGCGGGAGGGAAGAAAGGUGUCGGAACGGAAAGCUCUGUUGUAAGGGAAGAACGAGUGUGAGAGUGGAAAGUUCACGCUGUGACGGUAUCUUAACAGAAAGGGACGGCUAACUACGUG
rnacentral:rRNA from 1 species